CAGUCGCCGCGGUAAUACGGAGGGUGCAAGCGUUAAUCGGAAUUACUGGGCGUAAAGCGUGCGCAGGCGGUCUGUUAAGACCGAUGUGAAAUCCCCGGGCUUAACCUGGGAACUGCAUUGGUGACUGGCAGGCUAGAGUAUGGCAGAGGGGGGUAGAAUUCCACGUGUAGCAGUGAAAUGCGUAGAGAUGUGGAGGAAUACCGAUGGCGAAGGCAGCCCCCUGGGCCAAUACUGACGCUCAUGCACGAAAGCGUGGGGAGCAAACAGGAUUAGAUACCCGUGUAGUCCCUGUCUCUUAUAA
rnacentral:rRNA from 1 species